AUUUGUUGUUGCGUUUUUUUAAUGGAUCAUAAAAUUUCUAAAUUAGUAUUAUUUCCCAUUUUAACUUUUACUGAUCGAUUAUAGGUAAAAAAAAAAAUGUAUUCAAUAAAUGGAGCCUAUUGUAACAGCCAAUUUAGCUCCUGAGCACGGUGAGACCCAAUUGAUUAUAGGAGAUACUACAAUCUUACAAUGCUUUUUACUAAAGUCAGAAUUAAAAGUAAAUUCCAAUUUAAGGGUAGAGUAGCCUAACUGAAAGCAUAGCUAAAACAAUAAUGUUUAUAGGUGAUCUCUAAUAAACAAAUCUGAGCACCACAGUCACUAUUAUAAUCUUACAGUUACUUGUUCAAUCGGAUCCUCAUAGGCAUAAGAAGAAUAAAG